rnacentral:rRNA from 1 species
GACGAACGCUGGCGGCGUGCCUAAUACAUGCAAGUUGAGCGAUGAAGCUUGGUGCUUGCCCCAAUUUGAAGAGCAGCGAACGGGUGAGUAACGCGUGGGGAAUCUGCCUUUGAGCGGGGGACAACAUUUGGAAACGAAUGCUAAUACCGCAUAACAACUUUAAACAUAAGUUUUAAGUUUGAAAGAUGCAAUUGCAUCACUCAAAGAUGAUCCCGCGUUGUAUUAGCUAGUUGGUGAGGUAAAGGCUCACCAAGGCGAUGAUACAUAGCCGACCUGAGAGGGUGAUCGGCCACAUUGGGACUGAGACACGGCCCAAACUCCUACGGGAGGCAGCAGGAGGGAAUCUUCGGCAAUGGACGAAAGUCUGACCGAGCAACGCCGCGUGAGUGAAGAAGGGUUUCGGAUCGUAAAACUCUGUUGGUAGAGAAGAACGUUGGUGAGAGUGGAAAGCUCAUCAAGUGACGGUAACUACCCAGAAAGGGACGGCUAACUACGUG